GCACGAGGAGACCUCUUGCCAACACUUGGUCUGCCUGAUAAUUUUAGGCUGGCCUAAUUGCAAAGGAAUCAGCUGUCCCUCUGGACACAGGAAUGGACAGAGCACAGAACUGACACGACACAUAUGCAGGACAACAGAUCAUCUGCAGUUUCUUGCUCUUCUGACACUCAGCAAACUGAAACCCUGGAUCCACGUAUGGCAAAUGAUUUGAUGGGAUAGUAACAACACCUGAAUGAAUCCACACUUCAGUGCCAGACAAAAAUGUAAGGCUUGUAAAAAUUAAAAAAAAAGUCCAUUACCAUUUGCUGAAAUCAAUCUGCAGAGAAUGGUCAACAGUGAGAUCAGUUGGGCAGGCAGGAUUGACCUUCCCUGGAUCUCCUCCAGCAUUUCUCACAGCUUCCCUCAUGGCAGCAAAAUCCACCAUUGCUGGAAUUCCACUGAUGGAGAGAAAAACAAAAUAGUAAAACAACAUGGACACUAACUCACUGAGUGGCACAAACUUCUUUUUCAUUUUAUCCAAGUCUAGAAGUAGCUAUAUCCUAUUUCAGAAAAUACACCUAUUAUUCUCUCAAGUUUAAAGGACUUGGACCAUUUUUGAAGUCAUGGAGUUGGUACACCCUCUCAACGAGCAAGUGUGUCUGAAGGCAAUGUACCAAAGAAGAACAUGGGACCAUCUCAAAGAUAACCACACUUCUCUUGUGCCUUGCUUUGCUUCUCAGGUGUGAUGGUACUUCAGUACAGAAGCGAUCUCUGGAUACUCCUUACCUUUACAACAGAACCUUGCCAUGCAAUCAAAGCUCCUGCUAUACAUUUAACACCCCAGCCUAUAUCAUUUGUCUGACAGAGCUAUUUCUGAAGCUUUUAUCAUUUCACAAUAUUUGUAUUGCUGUACAAAACAGAGGCAAUGUUUAUAGAACACAGUAGCAUGUAAAUCUUAUUGGCUUUGCCUGCUAAGCAAAUGUUACCUCAUUUUUAUUAUCAUCAUAAUUCCUUUUUUAAUUAUCUCAAUAAAUAUACAGAGUCAGCAAGACA